rnacentral:tRNA from 1 species
GGCCUGCUAGCGCAAUGGUAGCGCGCGAGUUUCCGGUACUCGAGGUUGCGUGUUCGAGUCACGCGUGGGUCG